rnacentral:rRNA from 1 species
ACUGAAUCCAUAGGUUAAUGAGGCGAACCGGGGGAACUGAAACAUCUAAGUACCCCGAGGAAAAGAAAUCAACCGAGAUUCCCCCAGUAGCGGCGAGCGAACGGGGAGGAGCCCAGAGCCUGAAUCAGUGUGUGUGUUAGUGGAAGCGUCUGGAAAGGCGCGCGAUACAGGGUGACAGCCCCGUACACAAAAAUGCACAUGCUGUGAGCUCGAUGAGUAGGGCGGGACACGUGGUAUCCUGUCUGAAUAUGGGGGGACCAUCCUCCAAGGCUAAAUACUCCUGACUGACCGAUAGUGAACCAGUACCGUGAGGGAAAGGCGAAAAGAACCCCGGCGAGGGGAGUGAAAAAGAACCUGAAACCGUG